GACAGAGGCCACGAACGUUGUUCGGAAUUACUGGGCGUAAAGCGCACGUAGGCGGCUUUCUAAGUCGGGGGUGAAAUCCUGGAGCUCAACUCCAGAACUGCCUUCGAUACUGGAAAGCUCGAGUCCGGGAGAGGUGAGUGGAACUGCGAGUGUAGAGGUGAAAUUCGUAGAUAUUCGCAAGAACACCAGUGGCGAAGGCGGCUCACUGGCCCGGUACUGACGCUGAGGUGCGAAAGCGUGGGGAGCAAACAGG
rnacentral:rRNA from 1 species